rnacentral:lncRNA from 1 species
AUGCUUUCUCCAUUCCUACUCAAAAGCUUUAAUUUCUUAAGAAAAACGUUUCCUCGCUCCUGCGUUAAAUUAAAUUCUGAAAAAUCGUCUCCCUCGUCUCUCCCGGACCUCUGCGGAAUGAGAAGGCUGGAUCUGCUGCCUUCCAGACACACCAGGAAUUUUGAAGUUAAAAAUUCCGCAUGGGCUUUCACCACGUGAGGCUAAAAGACUACAGAAGGUACUCCAUUGAUGUUCAGCGAAAGUGGAUUGAAGUGAAUAAAAAAAGUGAUUGAUGAACA